rnacentral:lncRNA from 1 species
GGGCCUUCAUGUUACUCUAUUUUGGAUUUUAUAUUGAAGGCGAUGGAGGAGCCAUUAAAGGACCUAACUAGAGGAUUUUCUCAUGCUUUUCUUCAUGUUAUUACUAAUUCAGCAAUUUAUUCCUUAAAAGACACAUUUCUUGAGGGUAUUUUAGGCCAAUUGUGAAGUUCUCUUGGAUUUAGUACUUUCACAGGGUGAGAUGGAGAUUAAGAUGGUCAUCUGCAAGGAGGUUGUGUUGAAAGCCUAUCAGUAUCCAAUGUUUAAGCGGUUGCUGAUCUUAUAAACCAUAAACAACUAGUUUGUAGUAGUUGUAUUCUACAGCAGCUGUAUCAUAUUACAUACAAAUGCUUUCUUGCCAUUUCUUCUGCCAGGUCUUCCUGCCCAUGCAUCUUUAUCAGAGCAGGUACAGCACGAUGAGGCUUCCUGCCAACACUUUGCCAGUCCUGGAGAUACAGGUGGUGUUUAAUGAAACCUGGACCUUUCCUCUCCCCAACUCCUGUACGUUAUUUGCACGGCUUUUAAGAAGGAGUACAGGAGAAAAAUGGAAGGACAGCAAAAUCGUUACAAGAAUGAGAAGAGUUAGGAGAAUGAGCACUGAUACAGCACAGCGAAAAGUGGAGCGUAGGUGGAGAUGGAAGGGGAAAAGUGGCUUGUGCAGAGUGCCUUUCGUAUGUAUGCAGUUCUGGUCAUGGUAA